rnacentral:lncRNA from 1 species
GUAAAGAAAACCAUAGAGACUAAAUGUCAAAAGAAACAUAGAAACUAAUUAAGCUUUACACUUUUGAUUGUUCAAAACCAAACAAACCUUUAUAUACUUAUACUAGAUCAACGAUCACAAGUAUAUUUAAGAACAAUAACACUAGCAGUAAUAAUAGUAGCAACAAUACAAGAUUUAAACACUAGUAAGACAUCCAUGAAUGCUUGCUUUUUUGCCUUCAAACAUCCAUAUUCAUGCUCUUCUCAAGUUAACUUCACCCCUCUCUAAACCCGUAGUAAUACAUGAAAUUACCAUUCUACCCAUGCCAUGAGAGACCUCUUCAAACCAAACAUCCAUGCUCUACUAAACAUGGUUUCACCCAUAGUUUGAUCAAGUGCACAAAGGAUUCUUGCCAAUGAUCCUUUGUAAAACAUCACGAAGUUACCGUUUUACCAUGCGGAAGAGAACCCACUCUCCCAUCACAAGAUAACCACAUAUUAUAGCAUCAAUAAGGUGCACAAAAAUUCAUAUAUAUAACUACACAAGAAGAAAAGAAAAGAGAAAUAAAGCAAAGAAACUAAUAAUAAUACUAGUAGUAGUAGUAAAAAUGUCAAAAGCUUGUGUUAUGGGGGUGGGUGGGGGUAGGGUGUUCGUUCAUCUAUGAGCUCACAAAGUUUUUGAUCACAUCCAUUAAAGUGUAGAAAUGCUCAUUAUUUGGUAAGAAAUAGAACCCAAUUGUAGCCUUUUUCAAGAACAAUAACUCCACUUGUUGCUCUGCAUUCUCCAACCCUUCAACAUAUGCCAAUUGCCAAUCUUGAACAAGAUCCAAUCCAGCCACAACCACCAAACUUUUUGGAAAUUUAACCCCUUUUAGAUCAACCCCUCUCGGCCCGAAUAUGUUACACGCCGGAUGAUCGCGAUCUUCCCCUUCCGGCAAAAAAGCCCUCCAAUACCAAUCCCUAUCUUGAACCCUAACAAAAUACUUCCCAUCGAGUUUGCUCUCCGAUUCUUUUCGCUCUUCGCCCCCAAACAAUGGGUGCAACAAUAUGUUCCCUAACACUUCCACACCCGACUCAGCGGCCCGAACCGCCACGUGGUGGGCUAUGUUGCCGCCGGAGCUAUCACCGGCUAAAUAAACAUGAACUUUAGGGUCUUUACCACUUAAAAGCCAUGUUCUUGAAUGAACCCAUUUGAGGGCUUCCCACCCAUCUUCAUAAGCACACGGAUACCGAUGCUCCGGUGACCGGCGGUAGUUUACCGACACGACCACCCCUUUGAUCAGGGCGGUGAGACGGCGGCAAAACGUGUCGUAAAUCGCGCUAUUCGCUGACGAAUGAGUGAAGCUUCCACCAUGGAAAAAGAUUAUCACCGGCACAACUUCAGUUGUGCUUAAAGGGUUUUCGAGUUCCAAGAUUCCGGCACCCGGUUGCCGGCCGGAAUCUGAUUCCGGCGGGGCACACCGGUAGAUUCGGUUGAGGAGACUGGUGGCCCGGUCAACGACAUCGAAUGAGUACACGCCGUCCACCGGAACGGUGUUGGCGGCCACUUUCCGGUCAAGAAACUCGGCCAGUUCACGGUUGAAGGUGCCGUCCGGUCGCCGGAGCAUAUUGUAAGCUAACUUGAAGUUGGAAAUCAAGAUCCAUGUGUGCAGGGGAACUACUUUCUGUAAAAUAAAAAAAAUUAAAAAAAAAAUAGAAUCAACAUAUAUUUCUGAAAACUAACAUCUGGCAACUACAGAUUGCUCACUCAAACACCAAUGGAUAACAACAAAAACUUCUGGUGACCAGAAAUAAAAACAAGAAACCCAUUAAAAUCUUUGAGAAAAUGUUAACAAAAAAAAUUAAAGAUUUUAGACACAUAUUAAUGAAAAAGAACCCCAAACAGAAAAUGAAGAAACUUUAUCAGAUUAAGUUAUCAAAAACUUAAAAAAAAAAAAAAGAAAGAAAGGUGGAAACUUUUAAUGGCUAAAUCAAAGAAAAAGAAACCCCAAACAGAAAAUCAAGAAAACUUAUCAGAUUAUGUAAACCAAAAACUAAAAAUAAUAAAAAAAAGGUUGAAACUUUUAAUGUCUAAAUCAAAGAAAUAGAACCCCUAAACAGAAAAUCAAGAAAAAUUAUCAAAUUAAUUGAUCAAAAACUAAUAAAAAAAAGGUUGAAACUUUUAGAACCUAAAUCAAAGAAAACAAAAACCCAGAAAAAAAAAACUAAAAGAAAUUAACAAUUUUUAGUUAAAACUAUGAAACCCCAUCAAGAAUAAAGAAAAUGGGAAAUAUAAUUGUUGAAAAGAAACAAAAGUUUAUAAAAAACGUGUAAAAAAUAAAAACCAUCAGGAACAAAACCCCCAAAAGUUUACCCCAAAAUCAACCAAGAAGAAAGUAGAAUUACCAAAAUAAUCGAACAAAAGGCAUAAAAAAAUAAGGAAAAUAUUAACCAUUUUGGGAACA